GCCUGGGUAGCUCAGUGGUAGAGCGCAACCCUGAAGAGGUUGGCGUCCGGUGUUCGAUUCACCGCCCAGGCA
rnacentral:tRNA from 2 species